rnacentral:misc_RNA from 1 species
UUGUACUCAUUAGCAAACCACUCAAGCAGCGGCAUCUUUUCCUGAACUUCCAGUUCAACAGAACUUGAUGAAUCCUUAAAGUUGUCCUGAUUAGCCUCCUGCUCCUUAUUCAAAUGUUUUAUGACAAUCUCACCAGUGACGCUGUUUUUCAACACAUACCUACUGAUGUCCAAAUUUUCCCACACGAUGAGAGUCUCAACAGCACCCAUCUCUAGAGCUUUCAGCGUGUCAUCCACACCGAAAACAUAUUUCCCAGUAUCCUGGCUAAUCUC